CACCAAGAGUAAGACUUUGUGGUAGACAUCUAGAUAGGUUAACAUUUAUAUAUUUCAAAGCCACUUGUAGAAUACUUUGAUUCAGCAUGCACUGGGUGACAUCCAAGCAUGUGAAGUCCUCCCAAAAUGAUACUAUGAGGCAGUUCAUGACUGAAACAUAGUCGAAUUCAGAUAUAUCCUUUGGGUCUAUACUUCCGAGAUCAGUAAACAAUUGAACACGAUCCUCAACAAUCUCUUGCCUCAGAGGAUUUAAUGGCUUCUAGUAUCCUUUGCAAAUCGGUGAUGGAGCUCUUUGCCGCCAUUUUCCCACAAUCACUUGUAUUCUCUUUCUGCUUUCAUUUUCCGUUCUAUUUCAUUAUAUAUUUCAAACUUUCAAGUGUUUUACCUCAUUUCAUUACUUUCCCGCCAUAUUUGCUUUCUUUUAAAAGUAAUAAUAAUAAUUAGUAGGUUUUUCGGGUUCAAAUUCAUCCCAAUGCAUGAAAAAAUUAUGACAAUCUUGAACUUGUAGAAUGAUAAUUGAAUGCAUGAACUCAUUGAUUAU